rnacentral:rRNA from 1 species
UUUAAGCUUCCUACGGGAGGCUGCAGUGGGGAAUCUUGCGCAAUGGGCGAAAGCCUGACGCAGCCAUGCCGCGUGAAUGAUGAAGGUCUUAGGAUUGUAAAAUUCUUUCACCGGGGACGAUAAUGACGGUACCCGGAGAAGAAGCCCCGGCUAACUUCGUGCCAGCAGCCGCGGUAAUACGAAGGGGGCUAGCGUUGCUCGGAAUUACUGGGCGUAAAGGGAGCGUAGGCGGACAUUUAAGUCAGGGGUGAAAUCCCGGGGCUCAACCUCGGAAUUGCCUUUGAUACUGGGUGUCUUGAGUAUGAGAGAGGUGUGUGGAACUCCGAGUGUAGAGGUGAAAUUCGUAGAUAUUCGGAAGAACACCAGUGGCGAAGGCGACACACUGGCUCAUUACUGACGCUGAGGC